UGAAAACAAUAAGAGGAGAGUUAGUGAGAGCUAACCACUAGCUAAGAGCUAACUAUUAACUGAGCUAACCGCUAACUGACAGCUAACUGCUAUCUGAGAGCUAACUAUGAACUGAGAGCUAGCUGAGAGCUAACUGUUAACUGAGAGCUAACUGCUAACUGAGCGCUAACUGCUAACUGAGAGCUAACUAUUAACUGAGAGCUAACUAAGAGAUAACUGCUAACUGAGAGCUAACUAUUAACUGAGAGCUAACUGAGAGCUAACUAUUAACUGAGAGCUAACUGAGAGCUAACUGCUAACUGAGAGCUAACUAUUAACUGAGAGCUAACUGAGAGCUAACUGCUAACUGAGAGCUAACUAUUAACUGAGAGCUAACUGAGAGCUAACUGCUAACUGUUAACUGAGAGCUAACUAUUAACUGAGAGCUAACUGCUAACUGAGAGCUAACUAUUAACUGAGAGCUAACUGAGAGCUAACUGCUAACUGUUAACUGAGAGCUAACUAUUAACUGAGAGCUAACUGCUAACUGAGAGCUAACUAUUAACUGAGAGCUAACUGCUAACUGAGAGCUAACUAUUAACUGAGAGCUAACUGAGAGCUAACUGCUAACUGUUAACUGAGAGAUAACUAUUAACUGAGAGCUAACUGCUAACUGAGAGCUAACUAUUAACUGAGAGCUAACUGAGCUAACUGUUAACUGAGAGCUAACUAUUAACUGAGAGCUAACUGCUAACUGAGAGCUACCUGAGAGCUAACUGCUAACUGUUAACUGAGAGCUAACUGUGAUUGUGUGUGUGUGUGUUUGUGUGUACCUGUGUCGAGAGCUCCUGGUUUUGUUCUGGUAGAGAGUUUCCCCAUGAGUGUUGAGCAGCGGGAGGCGAAUCACAGCCUCGUCUGAGAGGUAAAGAUUAUUUUGUAAUAAAUAAUAAAACUUUAAAUAAAAGGUUGCUAUGCUAAUUACAUUUUUGGGUAAGUGUUACCGUUAUCCAGUCCUGUAGAGCCUGACGUGGAGCUGCUUUCUGACCUCACUGUGUCAUCUUGACACAAACACACACACACAAUCAUAAUUUCAGAAUAAUGGCAGGAAGAUACAGGUUUCCAGAAACAAUGAUUUCUAAUUUCCUGCUAGCUGUGUGUGUGUGUGUGUGUGUGUGUGUGUGUGUGUGUGUGUGUGUGUGUGUGUGUACCUGUGUGGCAGCCUCUGUGUACUGUCCUCUUCCCGUGGUGUGUGUUGUCGGACUCGCUGUGUUUCCUCAGUGCUGCACUGAAUAAAGUCUUCUUCAGUUUGGAGCGCUGAGAGUUUUCCUCCUGAAACACACACAGGCCUUCAGUUUGAGGUCACACGACUCACCUCGGAUCGAGCCUUCCUGUUUCCCUGGCGAGACACCCCCCCCCUCCUCCGGACACAGGGGGGUCUCUCCCCCGCCUGCAGGGGGAAAUCUCUGGGCACGGCACCUGUCAGCUCCUGACCAAUGAGAGCGCAAAAAACACCUUUACCAUCAUGUCCAUCAGUCUGAGUCUCCUGCAGCUUCAGGCUCUGACUCACCGCCUCCUGCAGACAGAUGCAUCUCAGCUCGGCCAAUCGUGAGCCCAGCAGCGCCUGUAGGCUCCGCCUCCUCUCAUGCAGCUCCGCCAUUCGCUGCCGCUGCUUCCUGUCCGCACAGAACAACGUGAACAGCUGUUUGAGUCAUCAAUGACCUCACCUGGUGACCGGGUUCAUAAGCGCUCUAACAGUUCACAGCUGUUAGCUGCUAACUGUUAGCUGCUAGCUGCAGUUCCCCGGCUGGCCUGCAGAGGGAGUUUACCGUCUUCAAAACCUCUGACCUGAUGAGAACAACAGAAGAGAAGAGGAAGACCAAUCAGAAGACAGGAACACAGAGGCCUCAUCAGCUGAUCACUGGUUCAUCAACAGAAGGGAAAACUGUCAGGGACUACUUUCAGCAGCGGAUUAAUCCACAUCUGGUGCUCUGAGUGUUGCUGUCAGCAGGAUGGUGUGUGAAGGAGAUGAUGAAGAGAAAGUAUGAAGCUCUGUGAAGAGUUUAAAAAACACACUCAGUACUCACACACACACUGUGAGCUGAUGUGUGUGUGAGAAAUAUUUUCUGAAUCCUGUGGAGGCCAAACUGCAGGGAAGUGAGAUUCAUCCUCUCUGACUGAUUUCUGAUCCUCUGAAGAAUGCAGAACCAGUACAGACAGGCCUGACACACACACACACACACACACACACACACAGUCUUAUCCGUGGUCUGCCUGUCUGCAGCUCAGACAGUCAACAGGUGAGAUGCUGCUCUCUCAUUGGCUGCUGUAAUAUUUUAAGUGAAAUAAUAAACACAGAUAAAACAGGAAGUGACAUCAUGAGGCGAUGAAAAGUUAGAUACGAAGUUUUCAUCCUGAUUAGGUGUUUGUUUGUGUGUGUGUGUGUGAAGUUUAGUUUCUGACUGAGAGAACGACCCUGAGAAUAGGAAGUGAGCCCAGCAGGAGACAGGAAGAAGGAAACGAGCAAAAAAAAGGAAAGUUGGUUCCCACACACACACACACACACACACACACACACACACACACGAAUAGUUAAACCCUGUAUUGUCUUUAGCUUUCAGCACCUGCAGUGUGUGUGUGUGUGUGUGAGAGAGAGUUUUGGAUAUUGCUUGUAUCUUAUCUCUGCAGUCAGAGGACAGGGAGUCAUGAAGACCUUUCAUAUAUCCCAUAAUGAUAUUACAGGUGUCCCUCUGUUGAACACAGAGCUGUCCUCUGUCUCUGUCCUAUGUCUCUGUCCUGUCUCUGUCUCUGUCUUCUGUCCUCUGUUUCUGUCCUCUUUCUCUGUUUCUGUCCUCUGUCCUGUCUCUGUCCUCUGUCUCUGUCCUCUGUCCUAUGUCUCUGUCCUCUGUUUCUGUCUUCAGUCUCUGUCCUCUGUCCUGUCUCUGUCCUCUUUCUCUGUCCUCUGUCUCUGUCCUCUGUCCUGUCUCUGUCCUCUGUCUCUGUCCUCAGUCUCUGUCCUGUCUCUGUCCUCUUUCUCUGUUUCUGUCCUCUGUCCUGUCUCUGUCCUCUGUCUCUGUCUUCUGUCCUCUGUCUCUGUCCUCGGUCUCUGUCCUCUGCAGAGGGUUUAAUAACGAGUCUGUGCUCACUGAUCCGGAGUCAGUUUGAUAAAUAAAGAACUCGUGUUUAACUGAUUUUUUAGUUUUUGAAUAUCGAACUGAGCCUGAGCUGUCAACAGGGCCGGAUUUAAACCUGCAGGGAAAUCAAACACAUUAAUAAUUGAUAAAGUAAAAUAUAUGUUCUAUAGACACAGUGAGCAGCUCGGGUUAAAUACCUGCAGAGAAGAGCCGGAGGCAAGCAGGGUUAACCCGGGAUAAAGUGAGGAUAAACCCGGGAUAAACCCGGGAUAAAGUGAGGAUGAAGUGAGGAUGAACCCGGGAUAAAGUGAGGAUAAACCCGGG